AUUGAACGCUGGCGGAAUGCUUUACACAUGCAAGUCGAACGGCAGCACGGACUUCGGUCUGGUGGCGAGUGGCGAACGGGUGAGUAAUGUAUCGGAACGUGCCCAGUCGUGGGGGAUAACGUAGUGAAAAUUACGCUAAUACCGCAUACGAUCUAUGGAUGAAAGCGGGGGAUCGGAAGACCUCGCGCGAUUGGGGGGGCCGAUAUCAGAUUAGGUAGUUGGUGGGGUAAAGGCCCACCCAGCCAACGAUCUGUAGCUGGUCUGAGCGGACGAACAGCCACACUAGAGCUGAGACACGGUCCAGACGCCUACGGGAGGCAGCAGUUGUGAAUUAUGGACAAUGGGCGAAAGCCUGAUACAGCCAUUCCGCGUGCAGGAUGAAGGCCCUCGGUUUGUACACUGCUUUUGUACAGAACAAAAAGGUUUCUACUAAUACUAGGAGCUCAUGACAGUACUGUAAGAAUAAGCACCGGCUAACUACGUGCCAGCAGCCGCGGUAA
rnacentral:rRNA from 1 species